UACAGAGGGUGCGAGCGUUAAUCGGAAUUACUGGGCGUAAAGCGUGCGUAGACGGUUCUGUAAGUCGGAUGUGAAAUCCCCGGGCUCAACCUGGGAAUUGCAUUCGAGACUGCAAAGCUUGGGUGCGGAAGAGGGAAGCGGGAAUUUCCGGUGUAGCGGUGAAAUGCGUAGAUAUCGGAAGGAACAUCGAGUGGCGAAAGCGGCUUCC
rnacentral:rRNA from 1 species